UGGGCGGUUCGCCGCCGACGACGUCGCGAGAAGUCCAUUGAACCUUAUCAUUUAGAGGAAGGAGAAGUCGUAACAAGGUUUCCGUAGGUGAACCUGCGGAAGGAUCAUUG
rnacentral:rRNA from 1 species